UACAGAGGGUGCUAGCGUUGUUCGGAAUUAUUGGGCGUAAAGCGCGUGUAGGCGGCCUAGCAAGUUGGGUGUGAAAGCCCUCGGCUUAACCGAGGAAGUGCGUUCGAUACUACAGGACUUGAGUACCGGAGAGGGUGGCGGAAUUCCCGGUGUAGAGGUGAAAUUCGUAGAUAUCGGGAGGAACACCAGUGGCGAAGGCGGCCACCUGGACGGCUACUGACGCUGAGACGCGAAAGCGUGGGGAGCAAAC
rnacentral:rRNA from 1 species